rnacentral:rRNA from 1 species
UACGUAGGUGACAAGCGUUGUCCGGAUUUACUGGGCGUAAAGAGCGCGCAGGCGGUCGUUCAAGUCGAGUGUGAAAGCCCCCGGCUCAACUGGGGAGGGUCACUCGAUACUGAUCGACUCGAAGGCAGGAGAGGGAAGUGGAAUUCCCGGUGUAGCGGUGAAAUGCGCAGAUAUCGGGAGGAACACCAAUGGCGAAGGCAGCUCGCUGGGACGGUACUGACGCUGAGGCGCGAAAGCGUGGGGAGCAAACAGG